rnacentral:rRNA from 1 species
AUUGAACGCUGGCGGCAUGCCUUACACAUGCAAGUCGAACGGCAGCACGGGUGCUUGCACCUGGUGGCGAGUGGCGAACGGGUGAGUAAUACAUCGGAACGUACCUUAUCGUGGGGGAUAACGCAGCGAAAGUUGCGCUAAUACCGCAUACGCCCUGAGGGGGAAAGCGGGGGACCGUAAGGCCUCGCGCGAUUAGAGCGGCCGAUGUCUGAUUAGCUUGUUGGUGAGGUAAAAGCUCACCAAGGCGAUGAUCAGUAGCUGGUCUGAGAGGACGGGCAGCCACACUGGGAAUGAGACACGGCCCAGACUCCUACGGGAGGCAGCAGUGGGGAAUUUUGGACAAUGGGGGCAACCCUGGUCCAGCAAUGCCGCGUGAGUGAAGAAGGCCUUCGGGUUGUAAAGCUCUUUUGUCAGGGAAGAAACACCGGCUCUAACACAGUCCGGGAAUGACGGUACCUGAAGAAUAAGCACCGGCUAACUACGUGCCAGCAGCCGCGGUAA